UGGACACCUGCGUCCCACUUGCUCGAUCCAU
rnacentral:piRNA from 1 species